GCGCUCGUAGCUCAGCUGGAUAGAGUGUCUGACUACGAAUCAGAAGGUCGCGGGUUCGAAUCCCUCCGGGCGCGCCA
rnacentral:tRNA from 2 species